AUACUUUAAUUUUCUAAUCAUUAUUUCUCCUAUAAAUAAUUAUUAUUACAUGCGAGUUUUCCUAUAACUCUGCACAACACAUGCACAUUCAACAGAUAUAAAGUUUCUUUGAAUAAGAAACACUAUUGCAUGUACAUUGCAAAUCAACUCUUAAUAAAACUGAUUAUUUGUGACACAAAAACAAAAUAUUACUAUGAUAGUAACUGAACAAUCUCUCUAUUGAAAGAAAAUGACUUUAAUUAUAUGGAUUGUAGAAGUACAUAUAAUAAGACGUUUUUAAUAAACACAUUGCAAUACGCUUUACCACAAAUAGAUUUACUUGUGACAACUGACUCUAUGAAUAAUGAUAAAUGGAUAGAGUUAGUUUUAAAAAAAAUCUUCAACGCCACUAUCCAUUUUAUUAACUUGAUGCAUUUGAAUUAUGUGCUACCCACUAUAGUGAUGGCUCAAGUGAGAUUACACUUAUACAUUUGGAAAAAGAAAGAGAU